CCUACGGGAGGCAGCAGUGAGGAAUAUUGGUCAAUGGACGCAAGUCUGAACCAGCCAUGCCGCGUGCAGGAAGACGGCUCUAUGAGUUGUAAACUGCUUUUGUACGAGGGUAAACGCAGAUACGCGUAUCUGUCUGAAAGUAUCGUACGAAUAAGGCUCGGCUAACUCCGUGCCAGCAGCCGCGGGAAGACGGAGGAUUCCAGCGUUAUCCGGAUUUAUUGGGGUUAAAGGGUGCGUAGGCGGUCGGAUAAGUUAGAGGUGAAAGCCCGAGGCUCAACUUCGGAAUUGCCUUUGAUACUGUUCGGCUAGAGAGUAGUUGCGGUAGGCGGAAUGUAUGGUGUAGCGGUGAAAUGCUUAGAGAUCAUACAGAACACCGAUUGCGAAGGCAGCUUACCGAGCUACUUCUGACGUUGAGGCACGAAAGCGUGGGGAGCAAACAGGAUUAGAUACCCUAGUAGUC
rnacentral:rRNA from 1 species